UUAUCGAUGAAAUAUAUUUUUCUGCUAAAUUAUCAAUACUAAAAUUUUAUUUUAUAUACAUAUAUAAAAGAAAGAUAGUAUACUAUCUGUUUCGUUUAUUUUUUUUUUAGAAAUAAACAUAGCUGGAAAUGUAAAUAAAUUAGGAUUCAGACUCGAAACUUCGGAUACUAACUACUAAAUCAUUUAUCACUUGCGUUAAGGACGGUUGAUGCAAUGAGUUUUUUGAGAACAAAGAAUAUAUCCUAUUGACUUGGGAGAAGAAUUUUUUAUUUUGAACAAAGAAU
rnacentral:lncRNA from 1 species